CUUACCAUGCAAGUCGAGCGGUAAGGCCUUUCGGGGUACACGAGCGGCGAACGGGUGAGUAACACGUGGGUGACCUGCCCUCCACUUCGGGAUAAGCCUGGGAAACUGGGUCUAAUACCGGAUAGGACCAAUUGGUGCAUGCUGGUUGGUGGAAAGUUUUUUCGGUGGGGGAUGGGCCCGCGGUCUAUCAGCUUGUUGGUGGGGUGAUGGCCUACCAAGGCGACGACGGAUAGCCGGCCUGAGAGGGUGAUCGGCCACACUGGGACUGAGACACGGCCCAGACUCCUACGGGAGGCAGCAGUGGGGAAUCUUGCGCAAUGGGCGGAAGCCUGACGCAGCAACGCCGCGUGGGGGAUGACGGCCUUCGGGUUGUAAACCUCUUUCGCGAUCGACGAAGGUCCCGUUUGUUGCGGGGUUGACGGUAGGUCGAGAAGAAGCACCGGCCAACUACGUGCCAGCAGCCGCGGUAAUACGUAGGGUGCGAGCGUUGUCCGGAAUUAUUGGGCGUAAAGAGCUCGUAGGCGGUGUGUCGCGUCGGCCGUGAAAACCUGGGGCUCAACUCUGGGCGUGCGGUCGAUACGGGCAUCACUUGAGUUCGGCAGGGGAGACUGGAAUUCCUGGUGUAGCGGUGAAAUGCGCAGAUAUCAGGAGGAACACCGGUGGCGAAGGCGGGUCUCUGGGCCGAUACUGACGCUGAGGAGCGAAAGCAUGGGUAGCGAACAGGAUUAGAUACCCUGGUAGUCCAUGCCGUAACGUUGGGCGCUAGGUGUGGGGUCCAUUCCACGGGUUCCGUGCCGCAGCUAACGC
rnacentral:rRNA from 1 species